rnacentral:lncRNA from 1 species
UGAGUAUACAAAGUCAGAAUGCAUCGAUCAAGAAUCUGGAAAAUCAAUUGGGGCAGAUAGCACAUGCGUUGAACAAUCAUCCUCAAUACACUUGGCUCUAUGACAUGAAUUCUGAGACUGAUGGUGAGCCCGAACCAAAUCUGCAACCGGAUGUGCCAAAUGAUAUAGAUGUUGAAAGAGAGGAAAGACUUGGGGACCAAGAAAAAGAGAUCGGCAAAGAUCUAACUUUGAGUACCAACAAAGAUGAGCCAAUUUCAUUAGUAUCCCAUGUGCCUCCUCCACCAAAGUUCAAGAAUCCGGGCAGUUUUGCAAAACCAUGCCCAAUUGGAAGUCAUGUCGUCGGCAAAGCUCUUGGUAACGUAAGAGCUAGUACAGUUGUGGAGUCAUGGUGGGAUGAAAAGGAGAAGAUAGAG